AUUGAACGCUGGCGGCAGGCCUAACACAUGCAAGUCGAGCGGAUGAAGGGAGCUUGCUCCUGGAUUCAGCGGCGGACGGGUGAGUAAUGCCUAGGAAUCUGCCUGGUAGUGGGGGAUAACGUCCGGAAACGGGCGCUAAUACCGCAUACGUCCUGAGGGAGAAAGUGGGGGAUCUUCGGACCUCACGCUAUCAGAUGAGCCUAGGUCGGAUUAGCUAGUUGGUGGGGUAAAGGCCUACCAAGGCGACGAUCCGUAACUGGUCUGAGAGGAUGAUCAGUCACACUGGAACUGAGACACGGUCCCGACUCCUACGGGAGGCAGCAGUGGGGAAUAUUGGACAAUGGGCGAAAGCCUGAUCCAGCCAUGCAGCGUGUGUGAAGAAGGUCUUCGGAUUGUAAAGCACUUUAAGUUGGGAGGAAGGGCAGUAAGUUAAUACCUUGCUGUUUUGACGUUACCAACAGAAUAAGCACCGGCUAACUUCGUG
rnacentral:rRNA from 1 species